GAACCUGGCAGCUCAAACCCACUGCAGGGAGACAUGGGAAGACAGACCAGGACAGACUCACUUGAGGUCACCCAGCCUAGCAGCUGUGUAAGGACAAACAGACAGGGGACAUGGAAGAGCAGAGAGGGCUUUCGGUGAUUUUCCAUGCCCAGCAGAGCUGAAGAAAAAAAAACAGAAGAGGCGGAUCAACACCUUAAGGCAGGAGGGAACCCUGGUGUCUACACACAGCCACCGCAGCAGGAGUAACAAGGGGACAACUAAGGAGCCCCAGAGAGGAGCCAAGGCAGAAACCACAGGGAGCACAGAUGCUGAAGGAGAGGGACAGAAGGAGUGGACAGGAAGCCGGGGCUGAAGACAGACAGACUGCCUUGAAGAUCCAACAAUGACAAACUGCCCACUCCAGUUUGAGCUCUGAAAACCACCAAGCCUCAAGAGCCAAGGCUCCUGGGGCUG
rnacentral:lncRNA from 1 species